CAUGAUCAGUGAGCUGAAGAAGGGACGGUUGAAGUUAGAGUAAGAAAUUUUUGCUGGUGAUUUUCUCGCGUUCUUUUUGUUCAUGAACUGAAGAAGGGACGGUCGAAGUUAGAGUGAGAAAUUUUGCUGAAAAUUAGUCUCACGAGAGUGAUGGGUGGAACUGUUAAUUGGUUCUUGAAGUCUCAACGCUGAGAAAAUUUUGGUGAGGAAGGAUGAAUAUCGUUAAGGGUGUUGCUGACCUUAUCCGAAGAACCUCUACUGGGAAUACCGGAGAAUCUUCAAGCUUCCAAGGUCAAAAGUUCUCUCCUCCUGGGCCCAGGAUUCG